rnacentral:ncRNA from 2 species
CUCUUAUCUAGAGUGGUGGAGGGAUGUGCCCUAUGAAGCCCAGCAACCGUCGUUUUUGAAAUGGUGCUAAUUCACAGAAAGUAAUUUUACUUUCAAAGAUGAGGG